AGCAGGAGCCGGGGUUUAUUCCUAAAUCGAGAGGCCUCCAGACAAGGGAAAAUAAGGCCAAAGUGGGUUAGGCUGAAUUAUGAGCACCUGUCCCCAUCAAUAACCUGGUGACUCAGAGCGCCAAGAAUGCCUCUUUCGGUGCACAGCCGGGGGACAGCUUUUGGCCUUCUCAAGCCAGUGGGUCAGGAACUGGAAGCCUUGGCUCCAAGGACAAGCUGUUUGUUUACUAACUGGGGACCAGACCGAGAGAUGGCAUUGACCAGAGAAUCGGUGUCAUUUUUCCUACUCGCCCGCUGCAGUUGCAGCCUGGUGUCCAUUGUAACCGUGUAGAUGUUCUUGGUUCUGGCAGAAUAGUAGUACUCCACUGUGUGUAAAUACCACACGAGCUUCUCUGUAGUCACCUCUCUCCCGGCCCUGGACAUACCUGGCAAGUGCCGUCUGCCUGGUUGUGAACCUUCCAGAAAAAGGAACAAAACUUCCAGUGUCAUCAACCAGGCUUGGAGCGAAGGGAAAAGGCCAGCUGAUAAGCCGAGCUCCCUGCUCAGGAAUGAAGGGAGCGGCUGCUCCUGCUUGGGAAUACACAACCCUGCUGAAUUUCCGGUAGUGCUGAUGGAAAGAACCAAAGCCGUUGACACUGCUAAAACUGAACUUCUAAAGCCUGAUUUUCCCACAUGCCAUCAUUAAAGGCAUCACAGAACCAUU